rnacentral:rRNA from 1 species
UGGCUCAGGAUGAACGCUAGCGGCAGGCCUAACACAUGCAAGUCGAGCGGGGUUUUCGGACCUAGCGGCGGACGGGUGAGUAAUGCGUAGGAAGCUACCCGAUAGAGGGGGAUACCAGUUGGAAACGACUGUUAAUACCGCAUAAUGUCUACGGACCAAAGUGUGGGACCUUCGGGCCACAUGCUAUCGGAUGCGCCUACGUGGGAUUAGCUAGUUGGUGAGGUAAUGGCUCACCAAGGCGGCGAUCCCUAGCUGGUUUGAGAGGAUGAUCAGCCAUACUGGAACUGAGACACGGUCCAGACUCCUACGGGAGGCAGCAGUGGGGAAUUUUGGACAAUGGGCGCAAGCCUGAUCCAGCAAUGCCGCGUGCAGGAUGAAGGCCUUCGGGUUGUAAACUGCUUUGUACGGAACGAAACGGUGAGCUCUAAUACAGUUUGCUAAUGACGGUACCGUAAGAAUAAGCACCGGCUAACUACGUG